GAUGAACGCUGGCGGCGUGCCUAAUACAUGCAAGUCGAGCGAACAGACGAGGAGCUUGCUCCUCUGACGUUAGCGGCGGACGGGUGAGUAACACGUGGAUAACCUACCUAUAAGACUGGGAUAACUUCGGGAAACCGGAGCUAAUACCGGAUAAUAUAUUGAACCGCAUGGUUCAAUAGUGAAAGACGGUUUUGCUGUCACUUAUAGAUGGAUCCGCGCCGCAUUAGCUAGUUGGUAAGGUAACGGCUUACCAAGGCAACGAUGCGUAGCCGACCUGAGAGGGUGAUCGGCCACACUGGGACUGCGGCACGGUCCAGACUCCUACGGGAGGCAGCAGUAGGGAAUCUUCCGCAAUGGGCGAAAGCCUGACGGAGCAACGCCGCGUGAGUGAUGAAGGUCUUCGGAUCGUAAAACUCUGUUAUUAGGGAAGAACAAAUGUGUAAGUAACUAUGCACGUCUUGACGGUACCUAAUCAGAAAGCCACGGCUAACUACGUG
rnacentral:rRNA from 1 species